GAGGGUGUAGCUCCAGUGGUAGAGCACAUGCUUAGCAGGCAUGAGGUCCUGGGUUGAAUCCCUAGUACCUUCU
rnacentral:tRNA from 1 species